GACGAACGCUGGCGGCGUGCCUAACACAUGCAAGUCGGACGAAGUAAGUUGCUUCACCAAGUGUUGAAUAGCUACCCCCAAGCGCAUUUGCCAAAGGGUAAGCAAAAGUACUAUCAAUUAAAUAAAAUGGUGAAACAAAAGAAUAGCGAAGAAGAAGCAAAUGCGCUUCACGCUAAUUCCAAGUACCAACACAAAACAAAUUCAAUGUUUGGUGAAGCAACUUGCUUAGUGGCGGACGGGUGAGUAACGCGUGAACAAUCUGCCCCGUACAAAGGGAUAGCCUCGGGAAACCGGGAUUAAAACCAUAUAACACUUAACUGCCGCAUGGUAGUGAAGUCAAAUCGAGUAAGAGGUAUGGGAUGAGUUCGCGUCUGAUUAGCUAGUUGGUGAGGUAAGGGCUCACCAAGGCGACGAUCAGUAGCCGGCCUGAGAGGGUGAACGGCCACACUGGAACUGAGACACGGUCCAGACUCCUACGGGAGGCAGCAGUGGGGAAUAUUGCACAAU
rnacentral:rRNA from 1 species